rnacentral:sRNA from 1 species
CCAGUGCAGUACCUGUACCAACCCACACCAUCUGGCUGGGGGCAGAGCUGGGAGAACAGUGGGUUCUGGAGUCGACUGGAAUACUUGGGAGAUGAGAUGACAGGUCUGGUCAUGACCAAGACAAAAACUCAGCGUGGCCUCAUGGAGCCCAUCACUCACAUCAGGAAGCCCCACUCCAUCCGGGUGGAGACAGUAAAACGGUGAGAGAGCUAGGAAACUGGAGUGCAGCCAUAGAGCUGCCGUCCGGUGUGGAGCCUUGAGCUGCAUGCCGUUGGUGAGCACCUGGAUCGUGGCUGCCCUGCCUUGAGAAGUGCUGUCACUGUCAACUGGACACUGGCUUUAGUGUGAAAACAAUAUAUUUUAUUAAUCAUUUUUAUAUUGAUUACAUGUCAAAAUGACAAUAUUUUUGAUAUACUGAAUUAAAUAAACUAUAUUACUAAAAUG